rnacentral:rRNA from 1 species
UACGUAGGGGGCAAGCGUUGUCCGGAAUCAUUGGGCGUAAAGAGCGUGUAGGCGGCCCGGUAAGUCCGCUGUGAAAGUCCAGGGCUCAACCCUGGGAUGCCGGUGGAUACUGUCGGGCUCGAGUCCGGAAGAGGAGUGUGGAAUUCCUGGUGUAGCGGUGAAAUGCGCAGAUAUCAGGAGGAACACCAAUGGCGAAGGCAGCUCGCUGGGACGGUACUGACGCUGAGACGCGAAAGCGUGGGGAGCAAACAGG